CUUGACACUGAACAUUGAGCCUUGAUGUGUAGGAUAGGUGGGAGGCUUGGAAGUGUGGACGCCAGUCUGCAUGGAGCCGACCUUGAAAUACCACCCUUUAAUGUUUGAUGUUCUAACGUGGACCCGUAAUCCGGGUUGCGGACAGUGUCUGGUGGGUAGUUUGACUGGGGCGGUCUCCUCCUAAAGAGUAACGGAGGAGCACGAAGGUUGGCUAAUCCUGGUCGGACAUCAGGAGGUUAGUGCAAUG
rnacentral:rRNA from 1 species